GGCCUAUACAUGCAAGUCGAGCGCGCCCUUCGGGGUGAGCGGCGGACGGGUGAGUAACGCGUGGGAAUAUGCCCUUCUCUAAGGAAUAGCCUCUGGAAACGGAGAGUAAUACCUUAUACGCCCUUUUGGGGAAAGAUUUAUCGGAGAAGGAUUAGCCCGCGUUAGAUUAGGUAGUUGGUGGGGUAAUGGCCUACCAAGCCUACGAUCUAUAGCUGGUUUGAGAGGAUGAUCAGCCACACUGGGACUGAGACACGGCCCAGACUCCUACGGGAGGCAGCAGUAGGGAAUCUUAGACAAUGGGGGCAACCCUGAUCUAGCCAUGCCGCGUGUGUGAUGAAGGCCCUAGGGUCGUAAAGCACUUUCGCCAGAGAUGAUAAUGACAGUAUCUGGUAAAGAAACCCCGG
rnacentral:rRNA from 1 species